AGAUUCUCGUUCUGGCUCUUCGACCUCCACCCCACCCCACCCAUCUUUCCCUCACCUAUCUCUCUUUUUCCUUUCCUCUUUUUAUUUUUAAUUCUAAUCCUCCCUUAAGCCAGAGAAGGAUCUAAGAAAUUGCCAACGACACUCCCACACUUCGAUAGGAGAUCAGUGACUGCAGAUCUGAAGGUCGAGGUUGUUGUCAAUCCGGGUACCAUGUAAAGCUAAGAAUGGAAGAGGAGAAAGGAAAAAGUAGGAAGUGAGAGAAUUUGAUGGGGUUUCUCCGGUGAAAAUAUUAGCUUCUAUGGAGGUGCGCUGUGGUUAGGUGAGUUCUUGGCAGUGCAGGGUGGGUUAUGAUGUGAGAGGGAGGGUGAUUAUUUUCAAUUUUUGUUUCACUUAAGGGUAAAUUAGGAAUUUUGAUUGACAAAAAAGUAUCCUAGUUGACAUUUUCUUAAUUAAAAAACUAAGUAAUUGGGUGUUUGGCUUUUAUUGGUUAGGAACACCAGCUCAACCGGUGUACUCGGUACUUAGAAAAAUUUCUCAGUGAUUGACACUUACCUAAAUUUGGACAAUGUUGAAAUGCUUGUGACCUAUAUUUUUGGUGAAAGAAUAUUUUGUAAUCAUUUGUUGUGUCAUUUGUACGUCACAACCCAGAACCAAUUACGGCGGAGUUGGUGAACUAGACGAGACGACUUUUUAUGAAACUCUAAUGAGUAUCAGAUGCUAUGGGGUUUUUUUUUAUUUUUUAUACUGUAAAAUGAUUAGUUAAAAACACAAAAAUAAUUAAAAUAAAUUGAAAUAUUAUAAAAUUUAGAGUAUCAUCACCUUUUUAUUAGGGGAGCUGAUAGUUUUGAUUGAGCUACAUUAUUGGACCACUAAAAAAGGGUGAAAUAUCAUACAAUUUUUGUUAGUUGAUAUUAACUCUAUAACACUUUGUUAGUGAUUCAGAUCUGGUGACUCUCCUCAGU
rnacentral:lncRNA from 1 species